GCCAGCAGUCAUAUCAACCUGCAACUCACAACUGGCAGCCAACUGGAGUUGAGCAGGUGUGAGCCUGGUCAGUACCUGGAUGGGAGACCUCCUGGGGAAAAACUAAGGUUGCUGCUUGAA
rnacentral:rRNA from 1 species